rnacentral:rRNA from 1 species
GACGAACGCUGGCGGCGUGCCUAAUACAUGCAAGUAGAACGCUGAAGGAGGAGCUUGCUUCUCUGGAUGAGUUGCGAACGGGUGAGUAACGCGUAGGUAACCUGCCUGGUAGCGGGGGAUAACUAUUGGAAACGAUAGCUAAUACCGCAUAAGAGUAGAUGUUGCAUGACAUUUGCUUAAAAGGUGCAAUUGCAUCACUACCAGAUGGACCUGCGUUGUAUUAGCUAGUUGGUGGGGUAACGGCUCACCAAGGCGACGAUACAUAGCCGACCUGAGAGGGUGCUCGGCCACACUGGGAGUGAGACCCUGCCCAGGCUCCUACGGGAGGCCGCCGUAGGGAACUUUCGGCAAUGGCCGGAAGUCUGACCGAGCAACGCCGCGUGAGUGAAGAAGGUUUUCGCAUCGUAAAGCUCUGUUGUAAGAGAAGACCGGGUGUGAGAGUGGAAAGUUCACACUGUGACGGUCUCAUACCAGAAAGGGACGGCUACCUACGUG